rnacentral:rRNA from 1 species
AAAUACAUAGCGUAUGGAGGCGAAUGUUCUGAACUGAAACAUCUAAGUAGGAACAAGAAAAGAAAGAAAACUCGAUUCUCCAAGUAGCGGCGAGCGAACAGAGAACAGCCCAUUAAAGUAAGACUAAACUGAUAGACAAAUCUUAUGGAAAGAAGAACCAAAGAAAGUAACAGUCUUGUAGUCGAAAUCAGAAUAGAGACACUUUAAGAAGAGUACCACGGAGCACGUGAAAUUCUGUGGGAAGAUAGGGGGACCACCCCCUAAGGCUAAAUACUACCUGGUGACCGAUAGCGAAUAGUACCGUGAGGGAAAGGUGAA